rnacentral:rRNA from 1 species
GCCCGGGCUGCCGUGCUUACAAUGCAAGUCGAACGCUGAAGCCCCAGCUUGCUGGGGUGGAUGAGUGGCGAACGGGUGAGUAACACGUGAGUAACCUGCCCCUGACUUCGGGAUAAGCCCGGGAAACUGGGUCUAAUACCGGAUACGACCUGUCCUCGCAUGAGGGUGGGUGGAAAGUUUUUUCCGGUGGGGGAUGGGUCCGCGGCUAUCCAUUUGGUUGUGGAGGUAUGGCUCACCCAAAACGACAACGGGAAGCCGGCCGGAAAGGGCGACCGGCACCACUGGACCUGAAACCCGCCCCAAACUCCUACGGAGGGCACCAUGGGGAAAAAUGGCACAAGGGGGAAACCCCUGUGCAACGAACCCACCUGGCGGAAUGACGGCCUUCGGUUUGUAACCGGUUUUCCCAGGAAAAAAGCAAAAGUGAGGGUACCGGCAAAAAAUUACCGGUAAACUACUGGCAACAACCCCGGGUAAUACGUAGGGAACAAGGGUUGUCGGAAUUUAUGGGGGUAAAAGAGUUCGUAGGUGGUGGGUCCCUUCGGUGUGGAAAACGCACCCCUUAACUUUCCCCGUGUAUUGGUUCCGGCUGGCUAAAAUUGCAUUAGGGAGUUCGGGAUUCCUGGUGGACGGGGAAAUUGCCCAAUUUCCAGGAGGACCCCGUGGGCAAACCGGAACCCGGGCUUGAAACGGACUGGAGAAGCAAAGCCUGGGGAAGAACAGGAUUUCAAACCCUGAAUCCAAGGCCAAAUGUUUGGGCCUGUGGUUGGGGGGAACAUUCCCGUUUCCCCCCGCCCAAAGAAAUCCUUUAAUGUCCCCGGCUGGGGAGUAAGGGCUCAAGGUAAAAACCAAAGGAAAUUGAGGGGGGGGCCGGUAAAACGGGCAAACUAUGGGGAAUUAUUUCCGAUCCAG